AUGUGAUUUAUGUUCUUUUUUUUUACGUAACAUACUCACACAGAGACAGACCGCACUCAGAAAUUCUUCCCAAGCACAUUUCGAAGCUAUUCUUUGAAAGUUAUGUAAACUUUAUUGCGGAAGACAAGGGCCGGGCCAGUACAAGAAGUCUGGUCAAGUGAACAGCGGCUGGACAUGGAAAAGUGUGUGUGUGUGUGUGUGUGUGUGUGUGUGAUAUCCUUUCAGUGGGGCAGGAGUGCAAUAAAGAAAUGACAACAGCAGAAGAACAGUAAAAGCUCUUUGUAUGCAAAUGCAACUCAUGUUGGAUCUGGAUCCACUUACAGGUGCCUUUGCACCACCAUUCCUUGCCCACCCAUUUCGAUGCAGUUCUAUGCUGAUUUUUUCCCGCCACUCGAGUACUCGAAAAGGCGAGCCAGACCACUCCAGCCUGAUGACCACAGAAAUUAAAUGAAAUCUUCUUUAUGUUUUGCCUGAAGCCCUCGGAUAAGUGCUCUCCUGGCUCAUGGACUUUUUUGCCUUCAAUACUUCCGCUUAAAAGGCAAUGUGGUGCGAAAAAUACAAUGAAAUAUAAGCAAAGUUUGACCCAGAACAAAAAGUUUACGACGUCUUCAAAAGCGGUGGAAUAGAAAACUGC